UACGUAGGGUGCGAGCGUUGUCCGGAAUUAUUGGGCGUAAAGGGCUCGUAGGCGGUUUGUCGCGUCGGGAGUGAAAUCCACUGGCUUAACUGGGGAGGGUCACGCGAUACUGAUCGACUCGAAGGCAGGAGAGGGAAGUGGAAUUCCCGGUGUAGUGGUGAAAUGCGUAGAUAUCGGGAGGAACACCAGUGGCGAAGGCGGCUUCCUGGCCUGUUCUUGACGCUGAGGCGCGAAAGCUAGGGGAGCAAACGGG
rnacentral:rRNA from 1 species